UCCUGUGUGACGUGCUCCCUGUCUGGCGGCUGAUGCUGUGAAGCGCGCUCAGGCAAGCUCCGAAGUUGUGAUAUGGAUGCAGUGACCUAUGAUGAUGUGCAUGUAAACUUGACUCGAGAAGAAUGGGCUUUGCUGGAUCCUUCACAGAAGCGUCUCUACAAAGAUGUGAUGCUGGAGACCUACAAGAACCUCACUGCUAUAGGCUACAAUUGGGAAUACCAUAACAUUGAAGAACAUUGUCAAAGUUCUAGAAGACAUAGAAGGUAAUUUUCAUAUGCAAAUUGGCAUGAAUUUGCCUCUGAAGAAAUAUUAACAUGUCCUGGAAGUUUUAAGAAAAGCAACAGUGUAAAAAAGUACUUCUUUAAGUGUAUUAAUGAUUAUUUUUUUAAAUAUUUAUUUAUUAUAUGUAAGUAAGUAUACUGUAACUGUCUUCAGACACUUUUUCUUCUCACUUUGGCCCUGCUUGCUUGCUGUAGCUGUCGUCAGACACCCUAGAAGAGGCAUCAGAUCUCA
rnacentral:lncRNA from 1 species